rnacentral:rRNA from 1 species
UACAGAGGGUGCGAGCGUUGUUCGGAAUUAUUGGGCGUAAAGCGCGUGUAGGCGGCAUGGCAAGUCGGGUGUGAAAGCCCUCAGCUUAACUGAGGAAGUGCGCCCGAAACUGCCGUGCUUGAGUGCCGGAGAGGGUGGCGGAAUUCCCCAAGUAGAGGUGAAAUUCGUAGAUAUGGGGAGGAACACCGGUGGCGAAGGCGGCCACCUGGACGGUAACUGACGCUGAGACACGAAAGCGUGGGUAGCAAACAGG